rnacentral:rRNA from 1 species
UUGCAGUUAAAAAGCUCGUAGUUGGACCUUGGGCCGGGUCGGCCGGUCCGCCUCACGGCGAGCACCGACCGACUCGACCCUUCUGCCGGCGAUGCGCUCCUGGCCUUAACUGGCCGGGUCGUGCCUCCGGCGCCGUUACUUUGAAGAAAUUAGAGUGC